rnacentral:lncRNA from 1 species
UACAAAGUUGUGUCCUGAUAUGUCACGUAGAUACUCUCGCACACACACACACACACACACACACACACACACACACACACACACACACACACACUCACUUCUGCAUUCAGAGAGUGUGUCUGAUAAGAGUAAUCUGCUCAUGUGAUCUCAGCCUGACAGCCAGGAGUCAAAGCAUUCCUUCCAAACCCAUCAAAGAAACACGCUGGGAGCUUUCACAUUAUAGAAAGUCUGUAAUUCAGUGCAAUUCAAUUCAGUUGUGUCUACAGCAGAUGAAUCUGGAAUCAAAAUAAUAUAGAAUAAAAAAAAUGCAAUUAAAUUAAAUCUACAAGAGAUGAAUCUGUUGUAUAGAAAUGAAAACCAAUGAAAUCAUGUAACUCUUUCUUAUUGUACAUCUUUUCCCAAAGCAGCAUAGAGUAGUGAACUAAGUCCAUGUUUCUAAAGUUUUAUCUAAAUUCAUGAAGUUUUAGACACUUAUUUUUUUAAAGAAAACAAGCAGUUAGAAAAUGAAUAGAGAGUGCUUGACUUAGAGGGUCAAGGCAACAAAUAGAUAAAAUAGAAUUUAGAUAGAGAGUCAAAAAAUAGAGGGUCAAAUAUAUAUAUAUACAAACAAGCAACAAAAAGAAUACUUUAUAAUAACAAUUCAGCAGAAAUGCAUAGAAAGAGAUAUUGUGGAUUGGUAUUGUCAUUGUCAGUGCAGGUCUGUGUCCAGCAGAUGGCCUCAAUGUGUGACGAUUCAGCAGCUUCAAAACACUGCAUCAGUGAAUCAAAGUAGUUUCUGAACUGAAUUGAAUCACUCUCAUGAUAGAUGACUUUACUGUACCUACAGUAUGUAGAAUAAAAAAGCUUUUUCCACAACGCUGAUGUCUUCAAAGUAACACCUAUCAUCUUCUGCUGUAGAUGCCAGACAUCGACACACAUCUGGAUGAUGAAGAGAGAAACACAGAGGAGACUGACGGACAGCAGAAACCGAAAAAGAAAGUGCGAGUUAAGUUUGUUCCUCACAGAGGGUUUGUUAUCGGUUUAUCCAGGGUUGACAAAGCUAAUCAUGAAACAAAGGAGGAAACACGACAUCUUAAGGAGAGUGAUGACUCUGAGCUGAAGGGAGCUUGUGGAUUCACUCCUCAUCCAGAUCUGAAGGUUCGUCCGAGUCGUGUGGAUAUACAUCGAAUCCUCUGCUUUGUGUCUGUAUGUUUAAAAUUAACUGUGCUUUUAGGAUGAGGACGGGUUUGAUGAUCUGAAGGGACGUUUGGUACAAAGCUCACGAGCUGAAGGUAGAGAAGACAUCUACGUGAGAGUUUGAUUUUCUGUGUCUGUUCACUGAGAUCCUCUAAUAUAUCUGUUUUCAGGAAGAAACAACACUGAAAACUGGAGCAGGACGGAGUCAUUCACCCAACGACGUUCAGGUUCAGCCUCGUUAUUCUCACACAAUCUCAUAUUCUGCACACUUCUGGUGAGAUUAUUGCUUAUAUGACUUGUGUCUCUUCUAGA